UCCUGGGCACCUCCUAGUUGCUGCUGGCAAUGCCUGACCUCCGUGCCAGCCCCUCGGGGGACCAGGAGCCGCAUCCUGAGUCCCCGUGGGUCGCUCUGUCCUCCCAGGUGCACUCGGAAGGAGCGCUGUGAGCGGUCCAGAGAGCCCCGAAGGUUCGCCUCCGAGGUGAAGCAGUGCGUCCGGCUGACCGUCCACCCCAGCAACAUCUCCGUUUCUCAGUACAACGUCCUGCUGGUCCUGGAGACAUACAACGUCCCGGAGCUGACAGCUGGCGUCAACUGCACCUUUGAGGACCUGUCAGAGAUGGAUGGGCUGGUGAUAGGCAAUCAGAUCCAGUGUUACUCCCCGGCAGCCAAGGAGGUGCCUCGGAUCAUCAAGGAGAACGGGGACCACCACGUUGUCCAGCUGCAGCUCAAGUCGAAGGAGACGGGCAUGACCUUCGCCAGCACCAGCUUUGUCUUCUACAACUGCAGUGUCCACAAUUCGUAAGUGCCCCCCAGUCUCACUCAACUCCCUGUUUCUGGGGUCAAAGUUCAUCCAAAGAUAGGAGGCCCCACCCUUGUUCCAUCUUACCAUCUGAAAGCCCUGUAAGGUGACCUCUCACCUCCUUCCUCUGGCACCCAUGGGGUUAAUGGAAGAGGCUAGAAUGAGCAGAGUGAGAGCCUGUGAGCUGGGGAGCUCCAGGUCCCUCACCCAUACAUCUUCUCUGGCAUAAACCUGUCUAACCUGAUUCACCU
rnacentral:lncRNA from 1 species